CCUUCGGGUUGUAAAGCUCUUUUGUCGGGGAAGAAACGGUAAUCUCUAAUAUAGAUUGCUAAUGACGGUACCUGAAGAAUAAGCACCGGCUAACUACGUGC
rnacentral:rRNA from 1 species